GCCCAGGUAGCUCAGUUGGUAGAGCAGGGGAUUGAAAAUCCCCGUGUCGGCGGUUCGAUUCCGUCCCUGGGC
rnacentral:tRNA from 1 species